rnacentral:lncRNA from 1 species
AUUCUAUACGGUAGAAAGUACUGCUUGUAGGACAGAUUUUUUUAAUUUCCUCUUGGCAUUCAAUAACACCCUAUUAAGUGGCUGUGUUUACACUGCAGUUGUCAAUGAUCUUUUCCGGGUCCUCUGCUCAUUAAGCAAUAAAUUCAACUUUCCUGGCUAGCAGUGUUUUGAACAUUUCAUGUGGCAAUAUGGAGCCAGUCCCACAGGGAAUGGUUUCCUCUUACCAGACUGCUCCCUCCACGUGCUAUGCUCCCUGUUGGGUUUAUCUAACUAUGUCAUCUCUACGAAGGAUACUUGAAGCAAGCUGUUGUCUCUUUCUUAGUCGCUUGCAGGUUGCCAGGGAGCCUGGGGGACCCACCAUCUGACAUCCAUAGCACUCGGCUUCUAUCCGAAUAUGUCUGAGAAUCCCACUGAAGCGUGGGAUGACAAGUUCCCUCUUUCUUUUUGCAGAAUUACUUCUCAUCCACAAUUAAGGGAAGCUCUUUUGUUCACUUCUUACUGCUCCUGCCAUAAUCGCUGGGCUGUGGUUUGCUAACAUUUUCUCAGAGAAAAGGAUCUUGGAAAGAUCAGAACAAGGGGUUGAGUGCCCAGUCCCACUUGAUGCUGUCCCAUGCUUUAGCUUUGUGAAAGCGGCGAGAGCUGAGUUGCCUUUUUGCAGACAUACAGGGAACUACUUCUGUCCAAAUGUUGAAACCUUUGGUGGGAAGAGGAGAUCAUUGUUGUUGUUUGUAAGCUGUUCUCCAACCUGGAGAGGUUGUUCCACGUCUUUGCUCCACGUCUUUGUUUGUGUGCCAUUCACUCGGUGUUUUACUGAUCUGUUUCGACAGAUUCCUUCAAACUACACAUUAUUUUCAUUACAAUUUGUAUCUGCUUUUUAAAUAAAAAACCUCACCAGAGCUGUUGCCAUGAAAAUAAAUUAAAAUUAAGAAGUCUAUAAUUACA